AAGGGAACAGGGCCACUGUGGGGAAGCACAGGCGGUCAGAGGCCCCAGGCCAAUGGUGUGUCUUUUCUGAAGAGCCCUUCUCUGAGAUUCCCACAAACGCAAUCAACAGGACAAGGUUAAAAGGCAAAGGCUUUCUCAAAACACAUUCUUUUGAAAUGCUAAAUGAUAUGGCCAAAGAAGAGCUCAAUUUUCCUCUCAGGACCUCUAUUAUGGAAGAUUUUUAAACAAUCUGCUGACUUAUGAACCCUGAACUCAUGCAGAAGUGAAGGUGAGGCAGCCUCUGAGAACAAAAGCAGAAGAGUUUGAAUUGGGUCAAGUGCACUAGCUCCUGGGUCACUACUGUGAAGCACUCAACUUUCACACCGAUGCUGACAGUCUGGUUUGUUUAAAAAAGAAGAGAAUGAGGAAAGCCAUCGCAGCUUCUUCUCACAGUUACGGUUUGCUCGUUGUCUUGAUAUGGAUCUUCAGUCUGGGUACAGACAUCACAGGGUCUCUUGCACAGUUCUGGAGGGAGCAGGUUGAAGCUUACAUACAAACGCAAGCUGAACCCUUGGAGAAAGUAGAAGUCUGGAUUCAGACAAAGCAAGAUUCAAAUCCCUGCUCUAC